AUCAGCCAUGCCCUAUUAUGUUGUACGAAUUAGGUUUUGAAAUUGGGGUUUAUUUUGGCACCAAGAUUGAUAAUGUUAGAAAACUUUUUAAAAAAAUUCAUUUUCCCACCACUAACUCAUUUGGAACAGCCUAUAUAUAAACAGGUGCCCCCUUUACUUGUGAGUGACACACAUUAUCUCCACCAUAGUUAGAAAAAAAAAAAUUUGUACACCUCACUCAGAAAUUAUAGUACAUCGCACAUGGUGGCUGGUGGUGGAGAAGACUCAUGCGGGUUCGAUGGGGGUGGUCCGCCUUGGAGAAAUUCACUUCAGGGACACCCCCAUUGCUACUGUGGUGAUCUAGCUUAUGUUUGGACUUCUAGUAGUAGAGCAAAUCCUGGUCGUCGAUUCUUCGGAUGUCCACACUAUGAGAACGAUGAAAGUCGAGGAUGUGAUUACUUUUGUUGGAUCGAUAAAUCACAUGGUAAGAGAAGUACAGAUGCUACACCUGGAUUGCGAAACCAAAUCAAGAUUUUCGAAGAAGAUAAGAAACGCAAUGAGAAUGUUAUUAGAAAAUUAAUUUUUAUCAUUUUUAUUUGCCUUCUCAUCAUUGUCCAACUUAUAUUGCGUUGAAGAUAUGGGUUGUCCCAAAAUGCAAAUGUUUUGUAUGUCUUAUGUUCUCAAAACUUGUUUAACUUAAUUGUGUAGAUCUUAAUAGAACCGUGUGGAUGAUGACGAAAAUUUCAUUUGGUAUGAAGUACCCACAACGUUCUCAAAAUUUUAUGUUUUCUACAUUUCUAAUUUCUGUAGCAAAUUUCGUCAAUGGGUUCAAUGUGAAGUUGCAAAAUUGUAUAUUAUUCA